GAUGAACGCUGGCGGCGUGCCUAACACAUGCAAGUCGGACGGUGGUGACCUUUCGGGGUGGCCACAGUGGCGCACGGGUGAGGAACACGUAGCUGACCUGCCCUGGAGCGCGGGACAACCCUGGGAAACGAGGGCUAAGACCGCCUACGCUCGGCGACUGUAGAGGUCGUCGAGGAAAACCUUUGGGUGCUCUGGGAGGGGCGU
rnacentral:rRNA from 1 species